GGACGAACGCUGGCGGCGCGCCUAACACAUGCAAGUCGAACGAGCGAGAGAGAGUUACUUUUUCGAGCGAGUGGCGAACGGGUGAGUAACGCGUGAGGAACCUGCCUCAAAGAGGGGGACAACAGUUGGAAACGACUGCUAAUACCGCAUAAGCCCACGGCUCGGCAUCGAGCAGAGGGAAAAGGAGCAAUCCGCUUUGAGAUGGCCUCGCGUCCGAUUAGCUAGUUGGUGAGGUAAUGGCCCACCAAGGCGACGAUCGGUAGCCGGACUGAGAGGUUGAACGGCCACAUUGGGACUGAGACACGGCCCAGACUCCUACGGGAGGCAGCAGUGGGGAAUAUUGCACAAUGGGGGAAACCCUGAUGCAGCGACGCCGCGUGGAGGAAGAAGGUCCUCGGAUUGUAAACUCCUGUUGUUGAGGAAGAUAAUGACGGUACUCAACAAGGAAGUGACGGCUAACUACGUG
rnacentral:rRNA from 1 species